AUCCUUUUGGUGACACUGAAUUAACCGAGGCCCCGUAUCGCUAUAGGUGUUUGGAUGGAAAAGAUCCCUCAAUGCUCAUAGGACCUUAGUGUCGAAUGGAAUUGGUGAUGAAACUUGUGUUGAUAGUUUUAAUGUCGGGACUCGUCAUCCAAACUUCCGCUGACGUCAAGGUUUUGGAAUGCCAGAGCGCGUGCACUGACGCGUUUCUCCAGUGUGUGAAACUGUACGACUGUAGCAAACGUCCUAAAGACAGCAAGGAGUGCGGACUUUUCUGUUCUAAAUGGGUGGACGAGUGCAUGGCUGGCUGCAGAUAAUAUGUAGAAUUAUACCCACAAUAACACAUAAUUCUGCAUAAAGAAUAAAGAAUGAUCAUCAA